CUCCGGCCCAGAAACCAACAAAGGGGUUUGGUGGUUGUCUUGAGGCGAGCCAGAACUGUGUCCGUCUCCUCUUAACUCGGACGCAAGAAAGGGUGUCCCGUCGCCGGAGAGAGAGAGGAGAGAGAGAGAGAGAGAAAGAGGACGACGCGAGGGGUUUGCGGCUUCGACGGAGGCGUGGCGUCGACUGAAUCGGUGUGGAAAGCGGCAGCGGCGACGGUGGAGGAGGAGGAUUUGAUGGUGGAGGAAGUCAGCGCUGAAGCGGCGGGGGAGACGGAGGAGGAACUCAGGAAUGAGGAGAAGCUGGGGCUAGGGCUGACCUUGGGGUGGCUAGGAAGGGGAAGCCGUUGCCGGCGCCGUGGGGCCGUGCUGGCGCAUCUUGACCGCCAAGAACUUCCCCUCCCUGGCGUCGCGCGCCUCUCCGAUGUCCCCAACCGCCUCCUUGGUCUCCUUGUCCUCCGGCACCAACCCGGGUUCGCCGGGACUAAGCGGGCGGCAGAAUCCGUCUCCCCUGACUCCCCUCCUCCCCGUCUCAGUGAGCGAACAGUCAGGUGGCAGUGGGAUGGCCACCUAUCAGGGCCUUCAGGAUGAACAGAUUGUUCAACCAUUCCAAAGAUAGUACCUCCAAUUCCCUCAAGAAGACCAACCUCAUCAUUGGCAACAAUGAUCAGGAGAAUAAAGGAAAAGAAACAAGGAAUUCAUUAUUUGGUAAAUUGAAAUGGAUGGUGAUCCUAUAUGUUGGAAGAUGGAUCUCAUUGCCCAUCAUUCUCAUUAAUCUCUUGAAGUUGCACUUGAUCUCAUGUUUCAGAAGCCUACUAUGGGCCCUGCCCUUUGGCCUCUAUCUGUGAGUUCAUUAUCUGUAAUUAUAUCAUUAUAUAGUUAAUCUUCCUGAUGUAUGCAAGUGCAGAGCUUAAGAUCUAAGCGAUAAUUUCUCGUUCUCCAUUAGGGAGAUUCUAUGUCAUAGUGGAAAUCAAUUUAUAGAUGUCUGCCUAUUGUGCAGCAUAGGAAUUGAAAUAAAAUCGGCAGUUAUCUGUAUUUUUUGUGGUAUGUUGGGAUGUGGUGGAGUUACUUAUUAUAUUGGUGUAAAUGAUGGCAGAUGGAGCAAAGGUUUCAAAGUUGUUAGAUGGUCCGUCUGAGUUUUCUCUUACUUAUGAAGACAAGGAUGGGGACUGGAUGCUGGUUGGAGAUGUGUCUCGAACGAAUGGUUUUGGAAACAGUGAAGAGACUUAGAAUUAUGAGGAAGCAAAUGGGCUGUCAGUCUGUUCAUUUUGGAGAGCACCAGGAUUUCAGUCCCUCAACAAGGCCAGUGAAGCAAUAGGAAGCAGUCCCGGCAUAACAGCUGGAAACAGAAUGAGGUACCUAGAUCAAUUAGAGGAACUCUGGAGUAUGUAUUACACAGAAGAAAAGAGAUGAAACAAUUAGAGGAACCUAGAUCAAUUUGGGCAAAAAACAUAUUUGCCCUUGUUUUUGGUGGUCGAUUAGGUUCAUGAUUUCUCUGUGGUCAUUCAUGGCUGACCACUCCCGGCAUGCUUGCUGCUUCAAUGCUGCAACUGUUUCACAGUUUUCUACUGAAUACAAUACAUGGUUUUGGAUA